UACGAACUGUGCGAACGUUAUUCGGAAUCACUGGGCUUACAGGGUGCGUAGGCGGCCGUGCAAGUCUGGCGUGAAAGCCCCGGGCUCAGCCCGGGAAGUGCGCUCGAAACUGCGCGGCUCGAGUGCCGGAGGGGAGAGUGGAAUUCCUGGUGUAGCGGUGAAAUGCGUAGAUAUCAGGAGGAAUACCGGUGGCGAAAGCGACUCUCUGGACGGCAACUGACGCUGAGGCACGAAAGCGUGGGGAGCAAACAGG
rnacentral:rRNA from 1 species